AUUGAACGCUGGCGGCAGGCUUAACACAUGCAAGUCGAGCGGAGCGAGGGUGCUUGCACCUUAGCUUAGCGGCGGACGGGUGAGUAAUGCUUAGGAAUCUGCCUAUUAGUGGGGGACAACAUUCCGAAAGGAAUGCUAAUACCGCAUACGCCCUACGGGGGAAAGCAGGGGAGCUUCGGACCUUGCGCUAAGAGAUGAGCCUAAGUCGGAUUAGCUAGUUGGUGGGGUAAAGGCCUACCAAGGCGACGAUCUGUAGCGGGUCUGAGAGGAUGAUCCGCCACACUGGGACUGAGACACGGCCCAGACUCCUACGGGAGGCAGCAGUGGGGAAUAUUGGACAAUGGGCGGAAGCCUGAUCCAGCCAUGCCGCGUGUGUGAAGAAGGCCUUUUGGUUGUAAAGCACUUUAAGCGAGGAGGAGGCUCUUAAGGUUAAUACCCUUGAUGAGUGGACGUUACUCGCAGAAUAAGCACCGGCUAACUCUGUGCCAGCAGCCGCUGUAAAAC
rnacentral:rRNA from 1 species